GGUGAGAUGGCCGAGCGGUCUAAGGCGGCAGCUUCAGGUGCUUACUAAGUAUAUGCUGUUCAGGAAACUGGCGCGAGUUCGAAUCUCGCUCUCAUCA